AUUGAACGCUGGCGGCAUGCCUUACACAUGCAAGUCGAACGGCAGCACGGGUGCUUGCACCUGGUGGCGAGUGGCGAACGGGUGAGUAAUACAUCGGAACGUACCUUAUCGUGGGGGAUAACGCAGCGAAAGCUGUGCUAAUACCGCAUACGCCCUGAGGGGGAAAGCGGGGGAUCGCAAGACCUCGCGCGAUUAGAGCGGCCGAUGCCUGAUUAGCUUGUUGGUGGGGUAAAAGCCCACCAAGGCGACGAUCAGUAGCUGGUCUGAGAGGACGAUCAGCCACACUGGGACUGAGACACGGCCCAGACUCCUACGGGAGGCAGCAGUGGGGAAUUUUGGACAAUGGGGGAAACCCUGAUCCAGCAAUGCCGCGUGAGUGAAGAAGGCCUUCGGGUUGUAAAGCUCUUUUGUCAGGGAAGAAACACCGGCUCUAACACAGUCCGGGGAUGACGGUACCUGAAGAAUAAGCACCGGCUAACUACAUGCCAGCAGCCGCCGUAA
rnacentral:rRNA from 1 species